rnacentral:rRNA from 1 species
GUUAAAAAGCUCGUAGUCGGAUUUCAGGAUUAGUUGUCGCCCUAUUACUGGGUUGUACUUCUACCCUUCCUAACGAACAGCUAUCAUUUCAUUUAUUUGAUGUGGUAGUCUAUCGUUUCUUUUACUUUGAGAAAAUUAGAGUGUUCAAAGCAGGCUUCUGCCCGAAUAUUACUCUUGGAAUAAUACUAUAGGACCUUGGACUUAUUUGAUGGUGAGUAGGACUGAGGUAAUGAUUGAUAGGGACGGUUGGGGUCAUUCGUACUGUAAAGCGAGCGGUGAAAUGCUUGGACCUUUAUAUGACGACCUACUGCGAAAGCAUUUGACUAGGACGUUCCCGUUGAUCAAGAACGAAAGUUGGGGGAUCGAAGACGAUCAGAUACCGUCGUAGUCUCAACCAUAAACUAUGCCAGCUAGGGAUUGGAAGUCGAUCUUAUUUAUGACACUUUCAGCACCUUAUGAGAAAUCAAAGCAUUUGGGUUCCGGGGGGAGUAUGGUCGCAAGGCUGAAACUUAAAGGAAUUGACGGGAGGGCACCACCAGGAGUGGAGCCUGCGGCUUAAUUUGAUUCAACACGGGAAAACUUACCAGGUCCGGACAAAGUAAGGAUUGACAGAUUGAAAGCUCUUUCUUGAUUCUUUGGGUGGUGGUGCAUGGCCGUUCUUAGUUGGUGGAGUGAUUUGUCUGGUUAAUUCCGUUAACGAACGAGACCUCAGCCUGCUAAAUAGUACUGUCAUUCUGAAUGGCAGCGACUUCUUAGAGGGACUACUUAUGCUAUACUGAGCGGAAGCUGGAGGCAAUAACAGGUCUGUGAUGCCCUUA